rfam:Schistosoma curassoni strain Dakar, Senegal genome assembly, scaffold: SCTD_scaffold0002223
AUCCAACUGACGAGUCCCAGCUAGGACGAAACGUGUGUCCUGGAU